CUUACCAUGGCCAUGAUGCAUAGCCGACCUGAGAGGGUGAUCGGCCACAUUGGGACUGAGACACGGCCCAAACUCCUACGGGAGGCAGCAGUAGGGAAUCUUCCGCAAUGGACGCAGGUCUGACGGAGCAACGCCGCGUGUGUGAAGAAGGUCUUCGGAUCGUAAAGCACUGUUGUUAGAGAAGAACACCCGGUAGAGUAACUGUUACCGGCAUGACGGUAUCUAACCAGAAAGCCACGGCUAACUACGUGCCAGCAGCCGCGGUAAUACGUAGGUGGCAAGCGUUGUCCGGAUUUAUUGGGCGUAAAGGGAGCGCAGGUGGUGACUUAAGUCUGAUGUGAAAGCCCUCGGCUCAACCGUGGAGGGUCAUUGGAAACUGGGUCACUUGAGUACAGAAGAGGAAAGUGGAAUUCCAUGUGUAGCGGUGAAAUGCGUAGAUAUAUGGAAGAACACCAGUGGCGAAGGCGACUUUUUGGUCUGUGACUGACACUGAGGCUCGAAAGCGUGGGGAGCCAACAAAAGUGGUUCCCUGGUUGUCCCCGCCGUUNNCCCCCUCAAAAGGAGUGUUGGAGGGUUUCCACCCCUCAAGUGUAGGAGUUAACGCAAUUAGCACUCCGCUUGGGGAGGGCGGGCGCAAGGCUGGAAUUCAAAGGAAUGGAGGGGGACCCGGCACAAGCGAGUGGAGCAUGUAGUUUAUUUCGAAGCAACGCGAAGAACCUUCCCAGGUCUUGACAUACGAUGCAUAGCCUAGAGAUAGGUGAAACCCUUCGGGGCAUCGAUACAGGUGGUGCAUGGUUGUCGUCAGCUUGUGUCGUGAGUGGGUUGGUUAAGUCCAGCAGCGAGCGCAACCCUUAUUAUUAGCUUCCAGCAUUCAGUUGGGGACUCUAGUGAGACUGCCGGUGACAAACCGGAGGAAGGUGGGGAUGACAUCAAAUCAUCAUCCCCCUUAUGACCUGGGCUACACACGUGCUACAAUGGAUGGUACAACGAGGAGAGAACUCGCAAGGGCAGGCAAAUCUCUUAAAGCCAUUCUCAGUUCGGAUAGUUCUCUGCAACUCGAGAGCAUGAAGCCGGAAUCGCUAGUAAUCGCGGAUCAGCACGCCG
rnacentral:rRNA from 1 species